CAGUCGCCGCGGUAAUACGUAGGGUGCAAGCGUUAAUCGGAAUUACUGGGCGUAAAGCGUGCGUAGGCGGUUACUCAAGUCAGAGGUGAAAGCCCGGGGCUCAACCCCGGAACUGCCUUUGAAACUAGGUGACUAGAAUCUUGGAGAGGUCAGUGGAAUUCCGAGUGUAGAGGUGAAAUUCGUAGAUAUUCGGAAGAACACCAGUGGCGAAGGCGACUGACUGGACAAGUAUUGACGCUGAGGUGCGAAAGCGUGGGGAGCAAACAGGAUUAGAGACCCCGGUAGUCCCUGUCUCUUAUAC
rnacentral:rRNA from 1 species